rnacentral:rRNA from 1 species
UACGUAGGGGGCAAGCGUUGUCCGGAAUCAUUGGGCGUAAAGCGCGUGUAGGCGGUCAUGUAAGUCUGCUGUGAAAGUCGGGGGCUCAACCCUCGAAAGCCGGUGGAUACUGCAUGACUUGAGUUCGGAAGAGGCAAGUGGAAUUCCUGGUGUAGCGGUGAAAUGCGCAGAUAUCAGGAGGAACACCAACGGCGAAGGCAGCUUGCUGGUACGACACUGACGCUGAGACGCGAAAGCGUGGGGAGCAAACAGG